AUCCAGCUGACCAGUCCCAAAUAGGACUAAACGUAUAUCCUGAAU
rnacentral:hammerhead_ribozyme from 1 species